rnacentral:rRNA from 1 species
UACAGAGGUCUCAAGCGUUGUUCGGAUUCAUUGGGCGUAAAGGGUGCGUAGGUGGCGCUGUAAGUCAGGUGUGAAAUUUCGGAGCUUAACUCCGAAACUGCAUUUGAUACUGCGGUGCUUGAGGACUGGAGAGGAGACUGGAAUUUACGGUGUAGUAGUGAAAUGCGUAGAGAUCGUAAGGAAGACCAGUGGCGAAGGCGGGUCUCUGGACAGUUCCUGACGCUGAGGCACGAAGGUCAGGGGAGCAAACGGG